rnacentral:rRNA from 1 species
UACGGAGGGUGCAAGCGUUAAUCGGAAUUACUGGGCGUAAAGCGUGCGUAGGCGGUUCGUUAAGUCUGUUGUGAAAGCCCCGGGCUCAACCUGGGAAUGGCAAUGGAUACUGGCGAACUAGAGUGUGUCAGAGGAUGGUGGAAUUCCCGGUGUAGCGGUGAAAUGCGUAGAGAUCGGGAGGAACAUCAGUGGCGAAGGCGGCCAUCUGGGACAACACUGACGCUGAGGCACGAAAGCGUGGGGAGCAAACAGG